AUGGUAGAUGCUGCCAGUUUCACAAAGUGUUUUACCAGUUAACACUUCCACCAGCAGUGUAUAUAAGAGUUCUGGGUUGUUUCACAUUUUCGUCAACUCUUGCUUUUUUUUUGAGUUGGAGUCUCACUCUCUCUCCCAGGCUGGACUGCAGUGGCGUGAUCUCAGUUCACUGCAACCUCCACCUCCCAGGUUCAAGCAAUUCUCUUACCUCAGCCUCCCAAGUAGCUGGGAUUACAGAUGUGCGCCACCACACCCAGCUAAUUUUUGUAUUUUUAGUAGAGAUGGGGUUUCACCAUCUUGGCCAGGCUGGUCUCGAACUCCUGAGCUCAGGUGGUCCUCCCACCUUGGCCUCUGAAAGUACUGGGAUUACAGGCAUGAGCCACCAUGCCCGGCCUUUUUUUUUUUUAAAUAGUUAUUUUGGUUGUGCCUUGGUAUCACAGUGUAGUUUUAAUUUGCAUUUUUAAUAGAUAUUUAAAUUGAGCACCUUUUCUUGGUUUAUUGGCUACUCAGACAGUCUCUUUUAUGAAGACAUCCAAAUAUAUUCUGCGUUUGAGUCUUUUGUACAUUUUUCUAUUGGGCUGUCUUUUUUUGUUUAAUAGGAAUUCUUUAUGUAAUCUGUCAGAUAGUAUUUUCUCUCCCCAGAUUAUAUUUUUAGUUUUUAAAUGAUGUCUUCUGAUACACAGAAGUUCAUGAUGUUAUAAUUGAAUAUGUAACUUUUUUCCCUUUCUGUAUCCUGUUCAAGAAAUAGUUGUCUACUCCAAGGUCAUGCAGAUUUUUUUUCUAAACGCUUUAUUGUCUUGUCUUUUAUUUUUUAUAUCUAUGGUCUAUUUGGUAUGGCUUUGUAUGUGCGGUGUGAGGUAGGGAUUGAGAUUCUUUUUUUUCCAUUGGGAUAUCUGAUUGACCCAGCAUCAUUUUCUAAAAGAUGCCUUUCCUCAUUGCACUGCGGUGCCUCCUGUGUGCUUUUGACAGGGAUGACAGGGAUGAGGACGAUAAAGAAUAGGCAUAGUGUGUCUUUCUCUUGUGAGACACAGGGAUUCCAACUCCUAUUCUCAAUCUUAAAAAGAAGUUAUUUUUCCUCCUCCAAGUGGGAAUUUUAAUAGUGCUUCUGCUUCCAGGAUACCAAGGGUUCGAGUUCUGGAGGAUGAAGAGGGGUCGAAGGACAUUGAAUUGUCUGAUGACCCUUAUGACUGCAUACGACUAAGUGUGGAGAAUAUCCCCUGCAUUGUCACUCUGUGCAAGAUUGGCUAUCGGCAUGUGGUGGAUGCUACUCUUCAGGAGGAGGCCUGCUCGCUGGCCAGCUUGCUGGUGUCGGUGACCAGCAAGGGAGUUGUGACGUGCAUGAGGAAAGUGGGGAAGGGCAGCCUGGACCCAGAGAGCAUCUUCGAGAUGAUGGAGACUGGCAAGCGUGUGGGCAAGGUGCUGCAUGCCUCCUUGCAGAGUGUUCUGCACAAGGAAGAAAGCCUGGGGCCCAAGAGACAGAAAGUUGGAUUCCUGGGAUGAUUUGCACAUCAACUGCUCAACUGUGGAUUGUUUUUUAUUUUUCCUUUUAAACCGGUUUGUAUAUAUUUUUCUUCGCUGUUACGAAUUUACAGCAACAUUUGUACAUGUAAAAUUAAAGGCUAUUUUCUGGU
rnacentral:sRNA from 1 species